GGGGAAGCGGCGCGAGCCGGCGCCGGGAACGUUCGCCGCGGGGGCGGCUCCGGGGCCUGAGUGGGCGCCGCCGCCUCGGUCGCUGCCGCUGCUUCAGCCGCCUCUGCCGAAGGGGCCGGGUCGGAGGAGGCUGCGGCCGCCGGAGAGCCACGCGACGGCCCCUCAGCUCCGGCCGGGAAGCGAGCCAGGAUGAUUGAGGAAGGUGGGAACAAGCGGAAGACCAUGGCGGAGAAGAGGCAGCUCUUCAUAGAAAUGCGUGCUCAGAACUUCGAUGUCAUACGCCUAUCAACGUACAGAACAGCUUGCAAGUUACGAUUUGUACAGAAGCGGUGCAACCUUCAUCUUGUUGAUAUCUGGAACAUGAUCGAAGCUUUCCGAGACAAUGGCCUUAACACCCUGGACCACACCACGGAGAUCAGCGUGUCCCGCCUGGAGACCGUCAUCUCUUCUAUCUACUAUCAGUUGAACAAGCGCCUUCCUUCGACUCACCAAAUCAGCGUGGAGCAGUCCAUCAGUCUCCUCCUCAACUUUAUGAUUGCCGCCUAUGACAGUGAGGGCCGAGGCAAGUUGACCGUAUUUUCAGUUAAAGCUAUGUUAGCAACCAUGUGUGGUGGAAAAAUGCUGGACAAAUUGAGAUACAUUUUCUCGCAGAUGUCAGAUUCCAAUGGCUUAAUGAUGUUUGGCAAGCUUGACCAGUUUCUGAAGGAAGCCCUGAAGCUCCCAACAGCUGUCUUUGAAGGACCAUCCUUUGGUUACACAGAGCACGCAGUCAGGACCUGUUUUCCACAGCAGAAGAAGAUAAUGCUGAAUAUGUUUUUAGAUACCAUGAUGGCUGAUCCUCCUCCCCAGUGCCUUGUCUGGCUACCUCUCAUGCACAGGCUUGCCCACGUUGAGAAUGUCUUCCAUCCUGUGGAGUGCUCCUACUGUCACUGCGAGAGCAUGAUGGGCUUCAGAUACCGAUGCCAGCAGUGCCACAACUAUCAGCUCUGCCAGAACUGCUUUUGGCGUGGCCAUGCCAGUGGCCCUCACAGCAACCAACACCAGAUGAAGGAGCAUUCCUCUUGGAAAUCCCCUGCAAAGAAGCUGAGCCAUGCAAUUAGUAAAUCUUUGGGAUGUGUACCCUCCAGAGAACCCCCACAUCCUGUUUUUCCUGAGCAACCAGAGAAACCACUUGACCUUGCACACAUAGUUCCUCCUCGCCCUCUGACCAAUAUGAAUGACACCGUGGUUAGCCACUUGUCCUCUGGAGUGCCCACUCCCACCAAGAGGUUACAGUAUAGCCAAGACAUGCCCAGUCUCUUGGCCGAUGAGCAUGCACUGAUAGCCUCCUAUGUGGCUCGUCUGCAGCACUGCACACGUGUCCUGGACAGUCCUAGCCGACUGGAUGAGGAACACCGGCUUAUAGCCCGAUAUGCUGCCCGCCUAGCUGCAGAGGCAGGAAACAUGACUCGUCCUCCCACUGAAGCCAGCUUCAACUUUGAUGCCAACAAACAACAGAGACAGCUCAUUGCAGAACUGGAGAACAAGAACAGAGAGAUCCUACAGGAGAUCCAGCGCCUGCGGCUGGAGCAUGAACAGGCUUCCCAGCCCACUCCUGAGAAGGCCCAGCAGAACCCCACGCUGCUAGCGGAGCUGCGCUUGCUGAGGCAAAGGAAAGAUGAGCUGGAGCAGAGGAUGUCAGCGCUGCAGGAGAGUAGGCGGGAGCUGAUGGUGCAGCUGGAGGGGCUGAUGAAGCUGCUGAAGGCUCAAGCCACAGGGUCACCACACACAUCACCCACCCAUGGAGGUGGCCGCCCUAUGCCCAUGCCUGUGCGUUCCACAUCUGCUGGCUCCACCCCGACCCAUGGCCCACAGGACUCAUUGAGUGGAGUUGGGGGAGACGUACAGGAAGCCUUUGCACAAGGUACGAGGAGAAACCUCCGCAAUGACCUGCUGGUGGCUGCUGACUCCAUCACCAACACCAUGUCAUCCCUGGUGAAGGAGCUCCAUUCAGGAGAGAUUACACAUGUGUCCUGAUUGGCUUUCCCAGUUAAGGUUAGCCCAGGAGCGGCGGGGACACAGGAAGCUCAGGCGCAGAGGCGGAGGAGCAAGCUGGCACCGACAAGACAAGGGAAAGUCUUCCCCCCAAGGCACAUUCCUCUCCGUCUUUCUGCUGCACACCUGGACCAGGCUUGCAGGCUGCCAGACUCAUUCAACCUCCAGAAAGAGGAGCCAAGCCUAUGGGAAAUGGGGAGGGACUGCCUGAGGCGGCAGCUGGUGGGCCUCCUGCAUGUACUAGCAUCUGCAUUUCUCCCUCAGGGCAUGGUCUCAUCUCUGCAUCAGGAAUUUACCAGAAGAUGGAAAAGAAAAGAAAAAGUGCUGAGCCCGUGUGUGUUCCUGACCAAAUGGGGUUCCUUCUGGCAUCUGGCCAGCACAGGGUACUCUCCCUAGUGUGGGCACACGCAUUUCUUUCCUACCUUUGACCUUUAAAAAACAACAUUUUCUGUCUAUGCAAAGAAAGCUGCAGGCCUUGUUCAGCUCUACAGACAUUUACACCCUGGCCUCAGUGCUAAAAAUAGUGCCCCCUUCCUCUUUGAACUGGUGAGGCUUCCGCCUGCACAGCGCUGUGCGGCACUGUUGCUGUGCAGCCAGGAGGCGGGCGGAGAACCUUGUGGUCCAGUCAGUGGGGAAGCAGCCCUGUUCUAUGUGCCAAGCUGGGACUGGCAGCCAGGGGGCGCACUGCCUGGGUGCUGCUCAUGCAUCCUCUCCUGGGGUCCUGUGAACAUGUGAUCACCACGUCCCAUUCACAUUGAUUUUCCUUUUUCCCCCUGCUCCCUGAGCUCCAGGAUGUUAUUUUUAGUAGAAGAGCUACUAUAAAUAUUUAUAAAGGGCAGCGACUGGAAUGAUGUGAGAGGGCCCACAGCUGGCACUGCAGCAUUCCCUACCCACCUCUGCAGACCCCUCCCUAAUUGUGAGGUGUGUGCAGAGCCAUGGACUGAACCCAUGGCCACACAUGGGUGAGGUCCCAUGAGAGUCUCCUAAAGGCGCAGUGAAGGGAGAACAAGGAAUGGAUACUGUUGCAUUCUGGCCCCAUCUGUUUCUCUGCCUUACUCCCAUUUCUAGCUGGAGUAAGUCAAGGCUGGGAGAAGCUAUAGGGACCUUGCUGGGCCAAGGUCCUCAGUGUCCUGGGCACUUGGUAUGAAGGGCAGGUGCACCAUGGAUCAUUGCCACUGUGAGGGUGAUGCUGGCCUCUGCUCAGCUGUUGAAAAACACUUGGCUUCCUGACCCACCUAUGGUUGGUUAGCAGGCAAGCUAAGGACUUGGAAGGCCAGCAGGGGUUUAAGGCUGCCUACUCAGGGAAAGGGGAUUCAGGCUUAUGGAUGGCCAGAAGGGCAAAGAUGAACAACUCCAUGUAGAAAGUUCUGGGGAUACACUACACACCCCAAUGGUGAAAUGCACUGUAAAGGUAAGACAGCCUCACAGACAGCUGCACAAACAGUACUAUGAGGGCUAUACUUUCCCCAUCCUCGCUUCUCACACUCUGUGUCAGGAACAAGGUAGAUUCCUACCUCCUGACUCCUGACAUGAGCAUGUCUCUGGAAAGGGUGAUGUUCACCUCACCCCUGACCAGAGUGAGGGCUGAGGGCCAAGGAGAGGGCUGCAUCCAUUCCUCUGAUGCCAGCAUUGGAGAUAUGCUAUCUACCUUUGUUAACAUCAAUUCUUGAUUUCUUUUAGAGCUAGAAUACCUAUUAUUAUAUAAGACCCCUUACAUUUGGUAUUUGCUUUCAAAGUUCUGUACCAGGGUCUUGCCUCCAUGACCUGGAACACAUAAGGCUAUUCUAUGGUAGGUACUUUCUUAUUAAUUUUUCCAUAGCAAUUUAGGAGCCUAAUUUAGUUCAGGCAGAUGAUCUGGCCUGGAGAGUCAGGCUGCUCUAUAGUACCCUGGUCUAAAUUGCUGCUUUAUGUGACAGGGAAGAAUCAGAUGCUCCCUGAGCCAUCUUUUGUAUAUGCUGAGGGAAAGAUUGAGAUGCUAGCUAACCUGGAACUUGCAAUCUUCCUGCCUCUAUGUCUUAAAUGGUGAUGGUCCAGAUGUGUGAGAUUCCAGAUGUGUGCCACCAAUCUGGCCAUCCUGGGAAGCCACUGUUCUCCUGGCUCUGGUGCUGUGUACAGCUGUCCUGAACUGUUCUUUAUUUACUGGUAGACUCCUUUCCUGCAUUGCAGGCUCCCUGUUCCUGAUGCCCACCAGCAUUAGAAGGUUCAGUUGCCAUGGCAAUACUGAGUCAUCUGAAUUCCUGCAGCAGUGUCUGGAGGAGAAGGGCUCACAAAGAGUUGGUUGGUGGCCCUCAAGCCUGGCCUCAGCCACUGUACUCUUCAGGGGUCAGGUGUUUGGUUACAACUGGAGUGUGGGAGGUGGGUGUUCUACUUGCCUCUGGAAGAUCCUGUAGUGGCAGAACACCCAUACCCUCGCAGGCUUUCAGAAAUGGAGAGCUCCCAGCAAGGAUUCAGGCAACACCCUAUUCCAGCAGUUCUCAAACUGAGCAUCCAUCUGAGUCUCCUGCGAACCUUGUUAAUGCCUCCAGAGUUUUUUGAGCCAGUUGCUCUGGGCUGGAGACAGCGCUUUGCAAUGCUGUGGAGCCUCGGGUCUUCUUGGUACUCAGCCUGGAGCCUGUAUUAUCAAAACCACUUUGAGCUUCUAAGAAGGGGAAACCAAUCCCACCCAUGCAGGGAACUACUUUUUAGUCAGGUAGAAAAGGUCUAGAGUCUGUUGUCCUAGAGAAAGAAGAGGUGGAGGGAACCUCAGACAUCCCAUUGUUUCCCUGGGCUGGAAGAAGGUAAUGUGUACUGGGGCUGGAGACCCCUCUACUUCAUUUGAGUGUCUUCCUUUAUAUUUACUUUUAAUAUUCUCCUCUCUCUCUCUGUCUUCCCUCCCUCCCUGUGUGCUGUGUGUGUGUACACAUACAUGUAAUAACAGGUGCCCACAGAAUCCAGAAGGUGUUGGUUUCUUUAGAGCUAGAGUUACAGGUAGCUGUGAUAGAAACCAAACAUGGAUCCUUUGCAAGAGCAGUGUAUAUUCUUAACUGCAGAGCCAUCUCUUCAGCCUGGUAGACUAAAUCAAUCAAUCAAUCAAUCAAUCAAUCAAUCUCUCUCUCUCUCUCUCUCUCUCUCUCUCUCUCUCUUCUCUCUCUCUCAUAUUUUUAAUGAUCAAUAAACUGAGGGCCUGGAGG